UACGUAGGUGGCAAGCGUUGUCCGGAUUUAUUGGGCUUAAAGGGUGCGUAGGCGGUCUUGUAAGUCAGUGGUGAAAUAUCCCGGCUUAACCGGGAGGGUGGCAUUGAUACUGCAGGGCUUGAGUAAAGUUGAGGUUGGCGGAAUUGACGGUGUAGCGGUGAAAUGCUUAGAUAUCGUCAAGAACACCGAUAGUGAAGACAGCUAACUAAGCUUUAACUGACGCUGAGGCACGAAAGUGUGGGGAUCAAACAGG
rnacentral:rRNA from 1 species